rnacentral:lncRNA from 1 species
GUUGAUAUAAACCGGAAGCAGUAGAUAACGAAAGUCAUAUCACACGGCUAAAGCAAUUCUUCAAAUUUAAUGAAUAAAUACAUGUACAAAUAAGUCGUUUCAUGGGGUACAAUUAUACCAUUAUUUUCUUGUGAGUCUAUGAUAAAUUUGUAUAGCAAAUUAUUUUAUAUGUCUCUGAUUUAUGUGACCAGUCAAUUUGGCUGUGCAAAUUUCUAGUUGGUAAGGUCAAAAUUAUCGUGGUUAAAAUGUCCUCCUGAAGCUAAAGCGAUAGUUACUCUUAUAUAUUAAUUCAAACCAAGUGGUUUAGUUUAAACAGCA